CACGUGAGGGCCGAGCGUUGUCCGGAGUUACGUGGGACGUAAAGGGCGCGCAGGCGGCCGUUGCUGCAUCACCGGUGAAAGCCCCGGCGCUACCAACGGCGGGAGGGUCCCGGGUGAGAUGGAGCAGGGCUGGAGGCAGGGCGAGGGCGGUGGGAAUUCCGGGUGUAGUGGUGGAAAUGACGUAGAGAUCCGGAGGAACACCAG
rnacentral:rRNA from 1 species